rnacentral:rRNA from 1 species
GAUAAACGCUGGCGGCGUGCCUUAUGCAUGCAAGUCGAACGCGGUUAGGACUUCGGUCCGAAGCCGAGUGGCGGACGGGUGAGUAACACGUACGUGACCUGUCCGGAAGUGGGGAAUAACCAGCCGAAAGGUUGGCUAAUACCGCAUAUGGUUACCCCUUGGAAGGGGCAAACCAAAGUCGCAAGACGCUUCCGGAGGGGCGUGCGGCCGAUUAGCUAGUUGGUGUGGUAACGGCGCACCAAGGCGAUGAUCGGUAGCUGGUCUGAGAGG